CGCCCGUUUCUUUUCUCUAACCGGCCUCGAGCAAGGUUGUGUCGUUGAUAUUAUUGAAACCGGACUCGGAUUCACCGGAAUUUUUUGGUCUCAAGAAUAUCAACAAUAGAAGCUUGCUCGAAAGUCGUACCACUGCCUGUCGUCGUCUCCCGGAUGCUCGAGUAUAUGAUAUUUUCACAUUAACAAGAAGAUUGGAACUCAUCUUGAUUGUUGGGAGCAUAUCCAUUUAAAUAAAUGAGUGCUUAGCUAAAUUUCUUUAUUGUUUAAAUAUAUCUUGUUGUAGUUCAUAUGUAAAAAAUAAAUCCUUGGUUGAUCAAACACUCUUUAUUCAUGUGUUAUUUGUCUUUACUAUCUAUUAUAGUUUUGAUGCAUAUAAAAUGAGAUGUUUCAAGUA